rnacentral:rRNA from 1 species
CACGUAGGGUGCGAGCGUUGUCCGGAAUUAUUGGGCGUAAAGAGCUCGUAGGCGGUGUGUCGCGUCGGCCGUGAAAACCCGCAGCUUAACUGUGGGCGUGCGGUCGAUACGGGCAUCACUGGAGUUCGGCAGGGGAGACUGGAAUUCCUGGUGUAGCGGUGAAAUGCGCAGAUAUCAGGAGGAACACCGGUGGCGAAGGCGGGUCUCUGGGCCGAUACUGACGCUGAGGAGCGAAAGCGUGGGGAGCGAACAGG